rnacentral:lncRNA from 1 species
UCAUUACAGAAUCCAACAAUUAUGACUAAGCGUAUCUUUUUUUAUUUUUUUUUGACAGGGUCCAAGAGGCUCAAGAGGUCCAAGAGGUCCAACUGGCAAACCAGGUCCAAAGGGUACUGCAGGCAAUGACGGUCCUCCUGGCCCACCAGGUGAAAGGGGACCACAAGGGCCUCAGGGACCUGUUGGAUUUCCUGGACCAAAAGGACCUCCAGGGCCACCUGGAAAAGAUGGCUUGCCUGGGCAUCCAGGACAGCGGGGUGAAACUGUAAGUAAAUGAACUCUACUGUGCUAGUGUUGCAAACCUCUUAAGGCCAUUAUAAUGUGACCAAAACUAAAGAAACAGAGAUAACAGAGAAAAGGGAAGAGGCUGGGACUAGAAGAUAACUGUGGUUUUCUUUGUAGGUUUAGUAGUUUAGGCGUAAGAAAGCUUUAUUUUGUUUCCAUACUACAAAAGUGAUAUUAUUCUUUGCUCUGCUCAGUUAGUAACAUCACAGUGUGCUUAACUAGUCAAUAGAAGUAGAAAAAUUAAUACUCAGAUCUCAAAUUUAGUUAAGAUUUGUCAGGCAACUACUAUAUCAUCUUUGAUCACUAUAUCAUCUUUUCUGAUUGAAUGUCAUGUAACAUGGCAUAAUAAAGAAUUACUACUUAACACUAAACAGAUAGGAAACUCAAAAGUCAGCAGCUUUGGAAAGUGCUAUCAGGAAUGAUUCAACCUGUGAAAAAAAGAGCCCAAUUAUGAAACUGUAUUCUAUGCAAUUCCCCUAAAAAUCCUCAUAAGUACAUCUUGGAAGCAAAAUUUGAAAAGUAACACACA